ensembl:lncRNA
UUAAAGCCCCCAAUAAAUUCUAAUGUGAAGUUAAAUUUGUGAAUUUGUGGCCCAAGGGAAGUCAAUGUUUUCAGGAAAGAAUUAGAUCAAAGAACCUGAAAUGAAUUUAGAGCUCUAUUUCUGGCUUCUGUGUGCUGGGUUCAGUCUAGAAUUAUCAUAUAAUCAGCAAAUUAGGCACAAGGGAGAAAAAUAGAGGCCCUCUUUUGCCUGUAGUCAGUCAGUGCGAGCAUAUCUGAUCCAAAACACUUGGAAACACACAGUUUCAUCUAGUGGCCAGUGGGGACUCUCCAACAGAACCUGCAAAACAGGAAGACUUUGGGAUCUGGCUUUUUGAAACACUGAGGUUACAAGGAAGAAAAGGAUUGCAAGUUGUUUGAUUGACACAGAAGAAUUACAAGUGUGAGAGAAUGAGGAGGCAGAGGGCCAAAGGGAAGUAUGUUUCUGCAGCCGCCACAUUACUGCUGCAUUUCAGGAAUGGCAUUUCAGUGGGGAAGAGUUGACUGAUUGGAAAAGACUCUGAUGCUGGGAGGGAUUGGGGGCAGGAGGAGAAGGGGAUGACAGAGGAUGAGACGGCUGGAUGGCAUCACCGACUCGAUGGAGGGAACUUCCCGACCCAUGGAUCGAACCCAGGUCUCCUGCAUUGUAGACAGGUGCUUUGCCGUCUGAGCCACCAACCCAGACCUCUCCCAGGUGCUGUGUUUCAAGGCUCUGAGGACCAAGCAGAGAAGCUGAAGCUAGGCUGACUCUUUGCAGUUGACUUUGGAGUCUUCUACCGCUGGGAGCCUCCUCAAGUACAGACAGAUGCUGUAGUAGUCAUGUAUGGAUGUGAGAAUUGGACCAAAAAGAAAGCUGAGUGCCAGAGAAUUGAUGGCUUUUGAACUGUGGUGUUGGAGAAGACUCUUGAGAGUCCCUUGGACAGCAAGGAGAUCAAACCUAAAGGAAGUCCAUCCUAAAGGAAGCCAGUCCUGAAUAUUCAUUGGAAGGACUGAUGGUGAAGCUGAAGCUCCAAUACUUUGGCCACCUGAUGCGAAGAACUGACUCAUUAGAAAGACCCUGAUGCUGGGAAAGAUUGAAGGUGGGAGGAGAAGGGGAUGACAGAGGAUGAGAUGGUUGGAUGACAUUACCAACUUGAUGGACAUGAGUUUGAGCAAGCUCUGGGAAUUGGUGAUGAACAGGGAAGCCUGGUAUGCUGCAGUCCACGGGGUUGCAAAGAGUCAGACACGACUGAAUGACUGAACUGAACACCUCUUUCACAGAGAUUCACAGCAACCACUGGCAUUUUCCCCCUCAGCUUUAUAGAGAGCUCCAGAUAUGUUUUUAAUGAGCUGCUGCUAAGUCGCUUCAGUCGUGUCCAACUCUGUGCGACCCCAUAGAGGGCAGUCCACCAGGCUCCCCCAUCUCUCGGAUUCUCCAGGCAAGAACACUGGAGUGGGUUGCCAUUUCCUUCUCCAAUGCAUGAAAGUGAAAUGUGAAAGUGAAGCCGCUGAGCGGUGUCCGACUCUUAGUGACCCCAUGGACUGUAGCCCACCAGGCUCCUCCAUCCAUGGGAUUUUCCAGGCAAGAGUACUGGAGUGGGGUGCCAUUGCCUUCUCCAAUGAGCAGCCGUGUUUUAAAACAACUGGACUAUGUGAUGAUCUUUCACUUUUACUGAGUUUGUUUUGCUUUUUCUGUUUAAUAUUAAGUGCUCCCGUUUCAUUUAGUUUAUGUUUUCCAAUUUCUCUGUCUCUUCUUUUUUUUUAAUGUUCUUUGUCAAGCCUUUAUCAAGCAUAGUAGAAAGGCUUUUCUAUACGUAUAUAUAAUAUGUAUAAUAUAUAUGUAUAUUAAAUAUAAAUAAUACAUAUAAUAU